GAUUUUUAAAUGUUAUUUCUGUUUUCUGUUGCUAGCGCAGCUCUGCAGUCACUAUCCAGGUGGGUCAGUGGGAGCAGAAGCCCUCUGCUGAUGUACAGGCUCUGAUCAGCAACAUCCAGCAAGACCCACACAGCCUCUUCUUGCUGGAGCUUUUUGUUUGCCUGUGACUGGAGAGUCAGAUUUCUAUUCGGGGGUUGCAGCUUUCCUGUUCUGGAGAAACCACUUCACACCUGCAGAGGUGGAUCGUGAUAUGAUUGUGACCCGGGCUGCCACCUUUGGUCUUGUGAGGAAGCAAAGCUCAGAAAGAAGGAAUCCCUGCAGUCCUGUUCUUUUAGCUCCAAGCCUGCUCAGCUUUAAUCACAGAGGAAGCAGCAGAGCAGCAGACAGUUUGAGAGGUUUGGGCUGACAGAUGGUGACAGCAUGGAGAGACUGUGGUCCUUACCCUGAAGAACUGCAGGAGUCACAGAGGAGAUGAGUCCAUCUCACUGUCUGGACUUGCUGACUGAUGUUCUUCUGCACUGCAGAUGCUGAGUAUGACUUCAGAGGCCAGCUGGUCUGCAGAGUUACAAGUGAAUCAAGGCGGAGGGCAGUCUGCCUGCAGCUUCAAAGAAAACAUGCAGGUGAAGACUCAGAUGGGCAGGAUCUCAGCAUCAGACUGUCCAAACAGGCUCCAGCUUCAACAGCAGACUGAGACAGACAAAAGAAAACCGCAGCUUCAGUGGGCUCCACAGGUCAAAGGUGACGUUUUAAAGAGUCUUCAGAGAGAAGGGACUGAUGUCACGUGUCGAUCACAGCGAUUAUGAAGAUGACAGCAAGAGCAACUACGACUGUAAAAGUCUGACCACGACUGUUUUGCACUUGUUUUACAAACAAAAAUCAAAAAAACUCAGUUUAACUGAAAAAACUGCAUUUUUACAGGCCACACUCA